UGGUCAAUGGACGCAAGUCUGAACCAGCCAUGCCGCGUGAAGGAUGACGGUCCUCUGGAUUGUAAACUUCUUUUAUCUGGGACGAAAACGGGAUUGUUAUCUCAAUUGACGGUACCAGAGGAAUAAGAACAGGCUAACUCCGUGCCAGCAGCCGCGGUAAUACGGAGGGUGCGAGCGUUAUCCGGAUUUACUGGGUUUAAAGGGUGCGUAGGUGGGCUUAUAAGUCAGUGGUGAAAUCUCCGAGCUUAACUUGGAAACUGCCGUGGAUACUAUAGGUCUUGAAUUAUCUGGAGGUAAGCGGAAUAUGUCAUGUAGCGGUGAAAUGCUUAGGUAUGACAUAGAACACCAAUUGCGAAGGCAGCUUACUACAUAUAAAUUGACGCUGAGGCACGAAAGCGUGGGGAUC
rnacentral:rRNA from 1 species